rnacentral:rRNA from 1 species
AGAGAGAGACAUGCGCGCAUAUCAAUAAGCGGAGGAAAAGAAACUAACUAGGAUUCCCCUAGUAACGGCGAGUGAAGCGGGAAGAGCUCAAAUUUGAAAUCUUAAAGGGUUUCCCUUGACGAAUUGUAGUUUAAAGAAGUGUUUUCUGUUGGAGUUUUGGUAAAGUUCUUUGGAAUAGGACAUCAUAGAGGGUGAGAAUCCCGUAUUUGACCUUUACUUUCAACUUUGUGAUACACUUUCAAAGAGUCGGAUUGUUUGGGAAUGCAGUCCAAAAUGGGUGGUAAAUUUCAUCUAAAGCUAAAUAUUGGCGAGAGACCGAUAGCGAACAAGUACCGUGAGGGAAAGAUGAAAAGAACUUUGAGAAGAGAGUUAAACAGUACGUGAAAUUGUCAAAAGGGAAGCGUUUGACACCAGUGUUGUUUUUCUGAAAAUCAAUUAAAGAACUGUUUAUGCUAAGCUGUUUAGACUUUAUCAGCUAACUGUUUAGUUUUGAGCUUUUCUUUAAUGCACUUUUCAGUUAACAAGUCAACAUCAAUUUCUUUUGCUGUAAAAAAGCUUGAGGAAGGUGGCUUGAGAUUCGUCUUAAGUGUUUAUAGCCUCUUGCCUAUGCAGUCGGAGAGAUUGAGGUCUGCAGCGUAGAUCCUUCGGGGCUAAAUGCAUUUGUGCUAAGUUAUAGCAUUUUAUAGACAACUUGUUGACUAUGAUUUGUCUUGUAGCUUACUCGCUUAUGUUAUUUUACCUACGCUUAGGAUGUUGAGCGCAUGUCUCUCCU